CAUGGCCGCUCUAAGCAGCAGCGACAGCAGCCGGAGCGGCAGCGGCGGCGGCGGCGCCUGCGGCCGGGCCUUCACUGCGCAGGCGCUAGGGUUACCCUGCGCAAACGCAGAAGCAGCACCCUGUGUCGCGUGCGCCCGAGCGCGAGCCUCCCUACCCCCAACUCCCUUGGCUCGCGCAUGCGCGCACACGUGCCACCAUCACCAUUUCACAGACGGGCAAACAGAGGCACGGCUGUUAAGUCUGAGGCAGCAUUUGAACUCAACGCCAUUACUCAUUGAGGAUGAAGAGGAGCUGUUGCCCUAAAUUAGAACCCUUUGGCUUACUCUGCGUCCAUCCUGAGUUUGCUGUUUAACCUCGGAAUAUACCUUAUCUCAAAUGUGGACCAAAAGUCCCCAGUUCCCUUUGCAAGCACACAAGGAAUUAAAGUCUUUGGAGAAGAGUGGAGGGAGAAGAAGCUAGAGAAGGUGGAUAGAUGUCUUGUCUACCUCCCUUUGAGCCACAGGACACCCCCAUGCUCCAUGGAGAGGACAACUGUUACCAAAGAUGUACAAAAUUAAUACCGUUCCUUCUCUCUCUCCCUCUUUCUUCCUUCUUUCCUUUCCUCCCUCCCUCUCAUCUGAGUUAACAACCAUUUAUUCAGUCCAUUCCAACAAGCAUGUAUUUAGCAUCUGAUGUGUGCCAAGCACUGUGCUAGAACUAGGGAUAGGAAGACAAAAGACCUCCUGUUAGAGGUGGCCAGGAGGGGUGCUUUCAUGGGAGCUGGGAUCCCGGAAGUUAGACAAUGAAAAGGGAGAGCAUUAUAAAUCCAAGGACAGCCUGGGCAAAGGCUGGAAGGCCAGAGAUAGAAGAUUGCAGGGAGAUGCAGACCAGCCAAGUCAAUCUGGCUGAAACACAGAGCCCUUGACGGGGAAGACAUAAUAGAAAUAAAUGUUUUUCUUCUGUUAUCUGUUGAUGUUUCUUAAACUCUGUGUUGUUACUUAAACUCUAUUUUGUAACUCUGACUUGUGAUGCAGUUUUAAUUUGCUUUGGAAACUCAGUAACUAGCUGGCUCCACCCAAACUCCACCCUGGCACCCCCAUAAAUGCACACUCUUUGGCCUUAGCCAAGUGUACUCUGACAACUUAGCAUCCCUGAAACAAAGCUAUUGCCAUCGCCAUCACCAUUGCCUUCCCCAUUCAGGGAGCCUAAAGUUAAAGCAUUGGGUAGUCUUGACCUAUCCUUCA